rfam:Kwoniella heveanensis BCC8398 unplaced genomic scaffold supercont1.5, whole genome shotgun sequence.
GUCGGGAUGGCGGAGUGGUCUAACGCGGUGGCCUUAAGCUUUACGUAAUCAAAACGUAGCUUAUAUCCACUCCUUCGGGGCGUGGGUUCGAACCCCACUCCCGACA